rnacentral:rRNA from 1 species
UUGAACGCUGGCGGCAGGCCUAACACAUGCAAGUCGAGCGGUAACACAGAGAGCUUGCUCUCGGGUGACGAGCGGCGGACGGGUGAGUAAUGUCUGGGAAACUGCCUGAUGGAGGGGGAUAACUACUGGAAACGGUAGCUAAUACCGCAUAACGUCGCAAGACCAAAGUGGGGGACCUUCGGGCCUCAUGCCAUCAGAUGUGCCCAGAUGGGAUUAGCUAGUAGGUGGGGUAACGGCUCACCUAGGCGACGAUCCCUAGCUGGUCUGAGAGGAUGACCAGCCACACUGGAACUGAGACACGGUCCAGACUCCUACGGGAGGCAGCAGUGGGGAAUAUUGCACAAUGGGCGCAAGCCUGAUGCAGCCAUGCCGCGUGUGUGAAGAAGGCCUUCGGGUUGUAAAGCACUUUCAGCGGGGAGGAAGGCGGUGAGGUUAAUAACCUCAUCGAUUGACGUUACCCGCAGAAGAAGCACCGGCUAACUCCGUGCCAGCAGCCGCGGUAAUACGGAGGGUGCAAGCGUUAAUCGGAAUUACUGGGCGUAAAGCGCACGCAGGCGGUCUGUCAAGUCGGAUGUGAAAUCCCCGGGCUCAACCUGGGAACUGCAUUCGAAACUGGCAGGCUAGAGUCUUGUAGAGGGGGGUAGAAUUCCAGGUGUAGCGGUGAAAUGCGUAGAGAUCUGGAGGAAUACCGGUGGCGAAGGCGGCCCCCUGGACAAAGACUGACGCUCAGGUGCGAAAGCGUGGGGAGCAAACAGGAUUAGAUACCCUGGUAGUCCACGCCGUAAACGAUGUCGAUUUGGAGGGUGUGCCCUUGAGGCGUGGCUUCCGGAGCUAACGCGUUAAAUCGACCGCCUGGGGAGUACGGCCGCAAGGUUAAAACUCAAAUGAAUUGACGGGGGCCCGCACAAGCGGUGGAGCAUGUGGUUUAAUUCGAUGCAACGCGAAGAACCUUACCUGGUCUUGACAUCCACAGAACUUUCCAGAGAUGGAUUGGUGCCUUCGGGAACUGUGAGACAGGUGCUGCAUGGCUGUCGUCAGCUCGUGUUGUGAAAUGUUGGGUUAAGUCCCGCAACGAGCGCAACCCUUAUCCUUUGUUGCCAGCGGUUAGGCCGGGAACUCAAAGGAGACUGCCAGUGAUAAACUGGAGGAAGGUGGGGAUGACGUCAAGUCAUCAUGGCCCUUACGACCAGGGCUACACACGUGCUACAAUGGCAUAUACAAAGAGAAGCGACCUCGCGAGAGCAAGCGGACCUCAUAAAGUAUGUCGUAGUCCGGAUUGGAGUCUGCAACUCGACUCCAUGAAGUCGGAAUCGCUAGUAAUCGUAGAUCAGAAUGCUACGGUGAAUACGUUCCCGGGCCUUGUACACACCGCCCGUCACACCAUGGGAGUGGGUUGCAAAAGAAGUAGGUAGCUUAACCUUCGGGAGGGCGCUUACCACUUUGUGAUUCAUGACUGGGGUG